rnacentral:rRNA from 1 species
UACGUAGGGUGCAAGCGUUGUCCGGAAUUAUUGGGCGUAAAGAGCUCGUAGGCGGUCUGUCACGUCGGCUGUGAAAACCCGAGGCUCAACCUCGGGCCUGCAGUCGAUACGGGCAAACUAGAGUACUGCAGGGAGACUGGAAUUCCUGGUGUAGCGGUGAAAUGCGCAGAUAUCAGGAGGAACACCGGUGGCGAAGGCGGGUCUCUGGGCGAGUAACUGA